AACGAACGCUGGCGGCAGGCCUAACACAUGCAAGUCGAACGCCGUAGCAAUACGGAGUGGCAGACGGGUGAGUAACGCGUGGGAACCUACCUUACGGUCGGGAAUAGCUCAGGGAAACUUGGGGUAAUACCGGAUACGCCCUUACGGGGAAAGAUUUAUCGCCGUUAGAUGGGCCCGCGUAGGAUUAGCUAGUUGGUGAGGUAAUGGCUCACCAAGGCGACGAUCCUUAGCUGGUCUGAGAGGAUGAUCAGCCACACUGGGACUGAGACACGGCCCAGACUCCUACGGGAGGCAGCAGUGGGGAAUAUUGGACAAUGGCGAAAGCCUGAUCCAGCAAUGCCGCGUGAGUGAUGAAGGCCCUAGGGUUGUAAAGCUCUUUUACCAGGGAUGAUAAUGACAGUACCUGGAGAAUAAGACUCCGGCUAACUCCGUGCCAGCAG
rnacentral:rRNA from 1 species